UUAAAAGUUGCAAAUGAUGGAUAAAAUCUGUUUACUGACAAAUUGUGAUGUCAUAAACAUUUCGUCACUACCACUGAUGCAACGCUUAG